UUCCGGUUGAUCCCGCCGGACCCGACUGCUAUCAGAGUGGGACUAAGCCAUGCGAGUCAACAUAGCAAUAUGUGGCAUACGGCUCAGUAACACGUAGUCAACAUGCCCAGGGGACGUGGAUAACCUCGGGAAACUGAGGAUAAACCGCGAUAGGUCAUCACUUCUGGAAUGGGUAAUGACUUAAACCUAUAUGGCCCCUGGAUUGGACUGCGGCCGAUCAGGCUGUUGGUGAGGUAAUGGCCCACCAAACCUGUAACCGGUACGGGCUCUGAGAGGAGGAGCCCGGAGAUGGGCACUGAGACAAGGGCCCAGGCCCUAUGGGGCGCAGCAGGCGCGAAACCUCUGCAAUAGGCGAAAGCUUGACAGGGUUACUCUGAGUGAUUUCCGUUAAGGAGAUCUUUUGGCACCUCUAAAAAUGGUGCAGAAUAAGGGGUGGGCAAGUCUGGUGUCAGCCGCCGCGGUAAUACCAGCACCUCGAGUGGUCGGGACGUUUAUUGGGCCUAAAGCAUCCGUAGCCGGUUCUACAAGUCUUCCGUUAAAUCCACCUGCUUAACAGAUGGGCUGCGGAAGAUACUAUAGAGCUAGGAGGCGGGAGAGGCAAGCGGUACUCGAUGGGUAGGGGUAAAAUCCGUUGAUCCAUUGAAGACCACCAGUGGCGAAGGCGGCUUGCCAGAACGCGCUCGACGGUGAGGGAUGAAAGCUGGGGGAGCAAACCGGAUUAGAUACCCGGGUAGUCCCAGCUGUAAACGAUGCAGACUCGGUGAUGAGUUGGCUUAUUGCUAACUCAGUGCCGCAGGGAAGCCGUUAAGUUUGCCGCCUGGGGAGUACGGUCGCAAGACUGAAACUUAAAGGAAUUGGCGGGGGAGCACCACAAGGGGUGAAGCCUGCGGUUCAAUUGGAGUCAACGCCGGA
rnacentral:rRNA from 1 species